UACGUAGGUGGCAAGCGUUGUCCGGAUUUAUUGGGUUUAAAGGGUGCGUAGGCGGUUUAAUAAGUCAGUGGUGAAAUACGGCAGCUCAACUGUCGAGGUGCCAUUGAUACUGUUAGACUUGAGUACAGACGAGGUAGGCGGAAUUGACGGUGUAGCGGUGAAAUGCUUAGAUAUGACAUAGAACACCCAUUGCGAAGGCAGCUCGCUACACUAUUAUUGACGCUGAGGCACGAAAGCGUGGGGAUCAAACAGG
rnacentral:rRNA from 1 species